GAUUUACACUGACGACCAUUUCGACUACCGAAACGCAUGUCUUUUAUGGGUCGUUAGAUGGUCCGGUUCUGGUCCAGGUGUAUACCAUUUUCCAGCCGGACCACACCGGACCCCAUGGAUUGUGCCUCUAUUUAUCACAAUUUAUUUACGGUUUAUCAAAGCGCAGCACCUGCGACACAAUUGUCCGGCAAAAAUGUUUUCAAAUUCAAAUGUUGAUGGAAGAGUUGGGCCUUUCAUCAAAUAAAUGGACAAUAUUCUAGGAUGUGGAUGCAAUUGGAAGACUUAAAGAAACUUUCGAGGAUAUGCGCAUAAUUGAUUCCACUGUUACUUUUCUGGAAGUACAAGUAGAAGGCAGUGGGUUUUCUUACUUUAUCAGACUGCAUCCCAUAAAUUUUUCAAUCAUUUCGACAACGCAGCAGUUUUUCCACCCUGGACCACGCCCACUUUAUAUGCCUGCGGAUGCGAAGGAGGUGUAUCCCGGUGGAAAUACCAUUACACGGGAGCACAAAACUGAUUUGAAUUUAAUUACUUGCUUGGCAUAUUUUGUUAUUUUUCCGUAGACCGUUAAACGUUAUGCAAAUUGCUUCGACUUACAAUACAAGAAAAUGUUUCUUUUCUGUUGCCACUCGCUGACA
rnacentral:sRNA from 1 species